CCAUCUUUACGAUAUAGAUCAGAUAGCUGAGCCCGAUAUCAUGCAUUGCGGACAGCGGCUUAGAUACGCGCAUGCGGGCAUUAACGCAAAACACGAGUUUCAUUGAUGAAAAUAUAAAAUAUGGACAAUUUUUUGCAAAUAUAUGCUUUAUAACUUCUUUAAAUCUCGAAUAUGGAUGUUUAUAUGAACUUUGAAGGCUGAAGUAUUGUUUAAAAUCAUCGAUUCGUCAUGUUCACUCCAAAGAAUGGCUCGGACGAAGGUUUGCCCUGCUCUCAAUAAUUACAAUAAACCACUUGAAAAGCACUUACAAACCUAUCAAAGCAAUUGUCACACUUGAUCCAUAGCCAGUGAUGGACAACUAGAGAGGAGAAAGAGUCAGGAUUCUAAUAAAUCGGGAUCCUCGGGGCGGUUCAAUAUCGGACGAUAUUCUUCGUACGCGUUCACGCCGUGUUGUCCCCACAUCUUUCGUAUGUCCCACGGCAGGUUCGGGUAGGUGAAGACUUCUUCCGGCAGGCUGAAGAUUCCCUCUUUGUCGACAAUCGCCGCACGCAUCGCUGCAUCCACGGCGACGUCUAUUCCGGUCGUGUAAAAAGACAGCGUGUACCCGGCCGCGGCGAGUUUCUCGGUCAAGUUAUCCAGGCUGCCGUUCUCGUUUCUCGUGAAGACCUGAACCAAUCUCCUGCCGAAACGGUCGUGAGGGACGUCGCGCUGGCCGGCCGCACCCGUACCGACGUGCAACAGGACCUCGCUCGCUCGGAAUACCAGCUCCCUCGCUGCCCGCAGUGCUUCGAUUCCAAUAUGUCGCGUAAGAAACGGCGUCAUCGUCGUCGACCCGUCGUCUGGUUGUUUGUAGAUACGCACCGAGCACUCCGUCUCAGGCGCGUCGCAGUUUCUAAGCCGGAAUCGUAGCUUCCCGUCGUCCGUCGCCAGGUCGUGGAGUUCGCGUUCGCACUCGGAUGUCAGCAAUAUCUCGCCCGAGUCUCCGUCAAACAUGCGCAGGCAUUUCUUUGGGACGCUGACCAAUUCGUGUUCCGCCGGUGUCGGGCUCACGGUUUUCCACGACUGGGGCAGUGGAUCC